GUAAAAAGAAGGAGAGCCAGGCCAAGUUUCUAACAGGUCCUAUUUGUGUCGGAUGGAGGCUCUGAUUGCAGGAGCUGAGGCAAAAGUGUAAUUCCUCUCUGCAGUUUCAAGGCUCUGCAUUGUGUCCGUGGCCUGGAGCACCGACAUUACAGGUAUUCUUUAUUUUGCAGCAUCCAAAAUGGCCAUGAUACCAAGUAACAACGAGUCCUUCUUUCUUUCUGACAAAAUAAAGGUUUGAUAGUUACAGAACAUUGAAAAUAAGGAAAACUA